UACGUAGGGUGCAAGCGUUAAUCGGAAUUACUGGGCGUAAAGCGUGCGCAGGCGGUUCGCUAAGACCGAUGUGAAAUCCCCGGGCUUAACCUGGGAACUGCAUUGGGGACUGGCGGGCUAGAGUAUGGCAGAGGGGGGUAGAAUUCCACGUGUAGCAGUGAAAUGCGUAGAGAUGUGGAGGAAUACCGAUGGCGAAGGCAGCCCCCUGGGCCAAUACUGACGCUCAUGCACGAAAGCGUGGGGAGCAAACAGG
rnacentral:rRNA from 1 species